rnacentral:rRNA from 1 species
AGUGAACGCUGGCGGUAGGCCUAACACAUGCAAGUCGAACGGCAGCACAGUAAGAGCUUGCUCUUACGGGUGGCGAGUGGCGGACGGGUGAGGUAUACAUCGGAAUCUACUUUUUCGUGGGGGAUAACGUAGGGAAACUUACUCUAAUACCGCAUACGACCUACGGGUGAAAGCAGGGGAUCUUCGGACCUUGCGCGAUUGAAUGAGCCGAUGUCGGAUUAGCUAGUUGGCGGGGUAAAGGCCCACCAAGGCGACGAUCCGUAGCUGGUCUGGGGGCAGGGAGACCCACAGUGGAACUGAGAGACGGCCCAGACACCUACGGGAGGCAGAGGUGGGGAAUAUUGGAAAAUGGGCGCAAGCUUGAUCCAGCCAUACCGGGUGGGUGAAGAAGCCCUGCGGGUUGUAAAGCCCUUUUGUGGGGAAAAAAAAGCAGCAGGUUAAUACCCCGCUGUUUUACGGUAACCCAAAGAAUAGGCACGGCUUACUUCGUU